rnacentral:lncRNA from 1 species
GUGGGAUCAGAACGGGUCGGUGUGCCAUUUUGGGCCGUGUAAUUAAACACGUCCGAUCCUCUUUUCGUCAUGUGAUUUCCCACCACCUCUUUUGUGUUUGCGUUUUGCUCGGGAUGUGUGGAGUGUCGCUGGCUAUCGUGCCUCGGUCCCGUGUCGCACUGUAAAGGAAAGGUGGAGGAAGAAGAAGAGAGGUUAGUCUCAGCGGUGGGUUGUGAGGCGAGUGGUUCUAUGCGCUGGCUGCAAUCUACUGCCACAUUGGAUCGGCUGAGGCGAGUAGUCACGUGAGGCUGAUUCUCUUGUGCCUGUCCACUGUUUGAGUUGUUCGUUGCAUUUAAAUUAUCACCAUCGUGGUUUUCUACUUCUCCCCGUUUUUUCGCUCGUUGUCAUGUCUUCAUCCCCAGCAGGAAUGCGUCGCUUUGCGUGUGGAGAGAGUGGAGUCGCUGUCCGCUGCUUGUUCGGUUCGGACUGGAGAGGAUAUUGGACGGCAGAUGGAGCAGUGUGAUGACGGCAGAGAGGGAGAAGAAGGAGGAGGAGGAGGAGGAGGUGGUCCACCCCUGGAUUGAGGCCUUCUGGCUCCGGCUGCCACCUAGGUCGGUAAGUGCUGAAGUAUUAUAAAGUGCCUGCAGUUCCUGUCUUGUGAAUUAAUAUCAAAAUUGUAAUAAUAUUCCUAUUUGUAUAUCCUUUUUCCUUUUUCAUGCAGAACAAAUGACAAUAAGAGGACAAGUGCCAACAUCAGGUAAGUAUAAAGUUCAUGCAAGUGAAGAAUAAAUUAGAGUAGAUUAUUAAGGGGGGGAAAAAA